GACAGAGGGUGCAAACGUUGUUCGGAAUUACUGGGCGUAAAGCGUGUGUAGGCGGUCUCGUAAGUCGGAUGUGAAAGCCCUGGGCUCAACCCAGGAAGUGCACUCGAAACUGCGAGGCUAGAGUAUCGGAGAGGUUGGUGGAAUUCUCGGUGUAGAGGUGAAAUUCGUAGAUAUCGAGAGGAACACCGGUGGUGAAGGCGGCCAACUGGACGAAUACUGACGCUGAGACACGAAAGCGUGGGGAGCAAACAGG
rnacentral:rRNA from 1 species